rnacentral:lncRNA from 1 species
AAAAACAAAGAAAAUGCUCAUGGUUGUGUGGAUGUAAAAAGAAAAAGAAAAGAAAAAGACGGGGAUCAAAGAAAUGGAAAUUGUGUAGAGUUGAAUAUAUGGAAAUGCUCCCUUAGGAUAGGCAACUUUGUUGAAUUCUCUUAAUCAUAUCCUUUCUUGCAACCCAAGCCACAUUACAACCCUUGAAAGACCUCUUGAUUCUCAUUUUUCACAUGAUUUGGUAUUUG